rnacentral:tRNA from 1 species
GCCUGGAUAGCUCAGUCUGUAGAGCAUCAGACUUUUAAUCUGAGGGUCCAGGGUUCUAGUCCCUAUUUGGGUG